UCGAGUAGAGCUAAGCAAAGGUGGAGGAUCAGUAUAAUUGCAUAGCAUGUCAAAUUUGCAAGGUAAAUCAUAUCACAAAGGCGAGAUCACGUAGAGGAAUUACGUGUCUUCGUCUCCGGUGCAAGCGCAAGCAACGAAGCAGAUCGACAAUGGAUCAUUCAUCGAAAGCGUCGACUAUGUUAUGAGCAGGAUGCACCGGUUGGGAGGAGGCACCGGCGAGGAGACGGUGUAGUUACAACAACACUGUCAUUGCUGCAACGACAGUAGCAACAGGUGAAG
rnacentral:lncRNA from 1 species